UACGAAGGGGCUAGCGUUGCUCGGAAUCACUGGGCGUAAAGCGCACGUAGGCGGAUUGUUAAGUCAGGGGUGAAAUCCUGGAGCUCAACUCCAGAACUGCCUUGAUACUGGCGAUCUUGAGUCCGGGAGAGGUGAGUGGAACUGCGAGUGUAGAGGUGAAAUUCGUAGAUAUUCGCAAGAACACCAGUGGCGAAGGCGACUCACUGGCCCGGUACUGACGCUGAGGUGCGAAAGCGUGGGAGCA
rnacentral:rRNA from 1 species